rnacentral:rRNA from 1 species
UCGAGCGAAGCUUUUCAGUAGUUUACUACAGAAAAUGACUGAGCGGCGAACGGGUGAGUAACGCGUGAGCAAUCUACCUUAGUUACAGGGAUAGCCCGAGGAAACUCGGAUUAAUACCUGAUAUCCUUUAAAUUUCGCAUGAAAUUAAAAGGAAAGGUCAGCCGAACUAAGAUGAGCUCGCGUUCUAUCAGCUAGUUGGUGAGGUAAAAGCUCACCAAGGCAACGACGGAUAGCUGGUCUGAGAGGACGAUCAGCCACACUGGGACUGAGACACGGCCCAGACUCCUACGGGAGGCUGCAGCAGGGAAUAUUGCGCAAUGAGCGAAAGCUUGACGCAGCGACACCGCGUGUGGGAUGACGGAUCUAGGUUUGUAAACCACUUUCAGGAGGGAAGAAAAUGACGGUACCUCCACAAGAAGCCCCGGCCAACUACGUGCCAGCAGCCGCGGUAAUACGUAGGGGGCGAGCGUUGUCCGGAUUUAUUGGGCGUAAAGAGCUCGUAGGCGGUUCAACAAGUCGGUCGUAAAAGUUCAGGGCUCAACCCUGAAAUGUCGAUCGAUACUGUUGUGACUAGGAUACGGUAGAGGUGAGUGGAAUUCCGGGUGUAGCGGUGAAAUGCGUAGAUAUUCGGAGGAACACCAAUUGCGAAGGCAGCUCACUGGGCCGCUAUCGACGCUGAGGAGCGAAAGCUAGGGGAGCGAACAGGAUUAGAUACCCUGGUAGUCCUAGCUGUAAACGAUGGAUACUAGACGUAGGAACUGGAUUGACGGUUUCUGUGUCGUAGCUAACGCGUUAAGUAUCCCGCCUGGGGAGUACGGUCGCAAGACUAAAACUCAAAGGAAUUGACGGGACCCCGCACAAGCGGCGGAGCAUGCGGCUUAAUUCGAUGAUACCCGUAGAACCUUACCUGGACUUGACAUAUAGGGUCAAGCUAUAGAGAUAUAGUGUGCAUUAGCGCCCUAUACAGGUGGUGCAUGGCUGUCGUCAGCUCGUG